UGCUCUCCCUUUCCCGCUCUUUGUCUUUCCUCUCUCUGCCAUCGUAGUGGCUUAGCCCUAUUAAUCGAGCCCUAAUCUCAGCCUCUCUCAUUCUCAUUUCUCACUUAGCACUACCACCACUGUUCAUUGAUCUGGCCACCCAUUCAUAGCCCUCGACCGCUCCGACCACCCAUUCAGCAUUGUCUAAGCAGUUGUCUUGUCAUUUACUCACUGUUAAGGACUGGAGUUCAGCAGAUGAUAGCGAUUCCAGGUCUACCAACAUUUGGUUUAGAACAGGAAGAUCGAUUCCAGACGUGAUUUGCUCAACAUUUCGCCUACUCUAACCGAGGCCGUUGGUGCCAUUGUUGAUGAAACCAAAAUCUGAAUGCAAAUGGCCAAUGUACGUGGUGUUUAGUUUCCAAGUUCCAACCGUUUCCCAUUAGAGAAGACUCCCCAAUGCCAAAAGUUGUUCCAUCAAAACUCAAAAGCAACAUUGCUUCAUGCAAUUCCUCCUGGGCAUUUAGUUAGUGUUAGAGCAUCUACCUCAAUUAUCUGGAUUGGAGCAAUUGAAUUUCUAGGAGCAUGGGGCUCAGGUUAGAUUUUGUUGUUAUAAAAUUCAAAGAAUUGCUUCAUGAGGCCUGAAUCUACAUCCUACAAUUCAAGAGAUGGUUGUAUAGAUUGUCUAUUAUAGGGUGGCAGGAAAGAAUUAAAGUUAGAGACAAAGGAGGCGGUGCUAACUGGCACUUUUGAUUGAUGUAUGAUUGAGACCCCAAACUCAUUGUGUGGUUUCCCUUCCUGAAACAGAGUGUGAAAGCUCCGACUAAGACUUAAGGGAGUGGUGCUGCUCUGCCUCACUACUUUCACUCACUUAUCGCUCAGGCACUCGGGUCAAAUCAAAGUAGCCUUCUCUCCCAGAACCCCUGAUUUGGUUAAACAUGCUAAAGGAGAUAACUUCACAUGUGCGGCUGACCACCAAUUUGAUCGAAUUUUACACGUCAAGUUUUUUUUUUUUUGGGGGGGGGGGAUUGAGUUUCAUGUAUUCAAGAACCUUGAACUUGUAAUAGAAAUCACAUUUUUUUCA